GAUGAACGCUGGCGGCGUGCUUAACGCAUGCAAGUCGAACGAGAAGUGAAGACGGAAACCUUCGGGCGGAAGGCUUUAUUUCGAGUGGCGGACGGGUGAGUAACGCGUGGGUAACCUGCCUCAUACAGGGGGAUAACAGUUGGAAACGACUGUUAAUACCGCAUAAGACCACAGCACCGCAUGGUGCGGGGGUAAAAACUCCGGUGGUAUGAGAUGGACCCGCGUUCGAUUAGCCAGUUGGCGGGGUAACGGCCCACCAAAGCGACGAUCGAUAGCCGAUCUGAGAGGAUGACCGGCCACAUUGGGACUGAGACACGGCCCAAACUCCUACGGGAGGCAGCAGUGGGGAAUAUUGCACAAUGGGGGAAACCCUGAUGCAGCGACGCCGCGUGAGUGAAGAAGUAUUUCGGUAUGUAAAGCUCUAUCAGCAGGGAAGAAAAUGACGGUACCUGAGUAAGAAGCCCCGGCUAACUACGUG
rnacentral:rRNA from 1 species